rnacentral:rRNA from 1 species
UACGUAUGGUGCAAGCGUUAUCCGGAUUUACUGGGUGUAAAGGGAGCGUAGGCGGCGCGUUAAGUCUGAUGUGAAAACCCGAGGCUCAACCACGGGAGUGCAUUGGAAACUGGCGGGCUGGAGUGCCGGAGAGGUAAGCGGAAUUCCUAGUGUAGCGGUGAAAUGCGUAGAUAUUAGGAGGAACACCAGUGGCGAAGGCGGCUUACUGGACGGCAACUGACGCUGAGGCUCGAAAGCAUGGGGAGCAAACAGG